GCAGGCUCCCUGCACAUCAACUGGCAGUUGGAGGACACCAGAUGCAGCUGGGUUGGUUUUCUAGACCGGAGGUGGACAGAUUCCAGGUAGAGGUGGGUGGGAGCUGCUCUCCUUCUGCCCAGAGCAGGGGCCAGUGACUAUGAGGCGAGUGGUGCUGACCUCUCAGGGCUGCUGCCCACUGUGAUGGCAGCUGAGCACUCAGCAGCCCAUUGUGUGCUGUGUGUAUACAGUUGUCUCAUAAUUCCUCCCAGUGACCCGGUGGGGAGGAUGAGAACCUGUCCCUGGUGUGAGUCUGUGCUGGGAGAUGGGUUGUGGGUGGGUGAUCAGGUCAGCGCUUACAGCUGGGGCAGCUUGUUCUGCUGUGGAUGCACCAGAGAUGUGGACACUCUGUCUGGGAGUUGGCUGAGGAGGCUCCUUCCUUCUGUCCCCUCCGGGUAGAGGGACAGGGGCUGCCCCCGCUAGCCUGCCUUGUGUCCGCGUCUCCUGGACCAGAUCGCUCUUGGUUUCUGAGUACUGGGUGCUGCUGGUCUGGCUGUGAAGUCAUUUCUCACUGUGAUUAGAGGGCCAGAAGCCUAAGGGAGCCAGCCUGUGGUUCUCGGCAGGUGUGUCAUGCUUGCAUCUUGGUGUUGCAGCUUGGAAAUUGGAAGCCCUUGAGAUUCUGGUGGCCUCGGAGUGAGCAGUGACCAUUAGCUAGUAUCUGUAUAGGUGUAGGCCUGGCAGCUGCCUGGAGGAGGCAGGUUUCAGCCUCAUGUGCUGCUGCCCUGGUCACAGUGUCUGGACUCCUUCAGUCUGCAAGAGAGGUCAGAGCUGUCCUGUUUCCUGCUGGGGCCUUGGUCUGCCACCCAGGUCCCAUGGGGGCUGCAGGGUUGCUGGUGAUGCCCUGAGAAGAGAAAGACGAGCCGCCCUGCCCCUUGGCAGGCAGGCUGAGGACCCACACUUCAGUGAGCCGUCUGCACCACCUCAUCUCAGGACAGGUGAGUGCCCCAUCGCCAUCUGACAGGGGUGUGAAGUCUGUGUCCUCAAGCGCAGGUAAGUUGAAUGCUGCAACUUCAGGUUGUGGAAUGUGGAACACCCUGUCUGCACUGGAUGGAAGCGAACGCCAUGUCCUCUCCUAAAUGAAGGUACUGUUGUCAGGUGGGAGGUGUGAAUACAAUUUCACCUGAUGGAAGGCUGAAUGCGAUUUUACCAAAUGACAGUCAUGUUAACAUCCUGCUUUCCCAUGAAUGCCCUGAACUGAUUUGAUGGAAGGGUGAAUGCACUAUUCUUCACUGGUGGAAGGAUAAUCACAUUGUGCUCAUUUGAGGUGUGUUGAAUGCCUUCUCACCCGAUGGAAAAUUCAGGCCCAGGUACUGACUCCAUAGUAAGUGGAAGGUUGUGUCUGCAUGUGGGACAGAGUGAAGGCCCUGUCUUCACAUCAUGACAGGCUGAAUGCAAAUCAUCAAGGGAUGGUGGAGUGAAGGCCCUGUCUUCAGUGAUGAAAAGGAGAACUCCAUCCCCUCACAUGAGGGCAGCUUGAAUGCUGUGUCCUCAUCAAAAGGAAGGGGAAGGCUGUGUGCACAAAGGAAAGAAGAGAAAAGGUCUGGUCCUCACUGUCAGGGGUGUGAAUUCCAUUUCCUCUCCUGAUGGAAAGAAGAACGUCUUUUCCUCACCUGAAAGAAGGGCGGGCAGCCCCUUUGGAUGUGUCAGUGUGAUGAAUGUCAUGUCCUCACGUGGUGAUACGGUGAAGAUCAUGUCCCCACGUGAAGGGGUGGUGAUUGUCCUGUCCUGAAUGCCUUGUUCUCGGCAGAAGGAAGUGCGUUCACUGGAGCUCAUCAUUCACUGAUAGUGAAUGCCGUCUCCUCACCUAAUGGAACGCUAAAGUCUGUGUCAUCACUGGACAGAGGGCAAACACUGUGCUCUCACCUUACAGAAUCUGAGUGCCCUCUCCUCACACAGGGAAGAGUGGACACAAUGUCCACUUCAGACUGAAGACUUCUCCCCCAGACUCUGUUGAAGAAUGCCAAAGCCUCUCCUCAUCUGACAGAAGUAUGAAGGCCAUGCCCUAAUGUGAGAGCACGUGUGUCUUCACAUGAAAGGGUUAAGCUUCUUUUCCCAGGCGAAGUAAGGAUGAAUGCGGUGUCCCCAGGCAACUGCAGGGUGAAUGUCCUGUCUUCCUGAUGGAAGAGUGAAUGCCCUGUGCUAAUGUGUUGGAAUGGAUAAGGGAGUACUGUCACGUGAGUAUCGUGUGAAUGCAGGAUCCUUGCAUGAUGAUAGUGUGAAGGCUGCUGCAUCACAUGUUGGAAGGGUGAAUGCCCUGCCCCCAGCCAUGGAGAGGUGAGCCCUGUGCCCUCGCAGGAGAGAAGCUGGAAUCCUCUAUUCACAUUGAAUGAGAAUGUGAAAGCCUUAAAUACAACUCAUGGACCCGUGAAGGCCCUGCCUCACCUGUUAGAAGGGUGAAAACUCUGUACUGAGCUGAUGGAGGGGGAAUGUCUUUCUGUCAUCUCAGGAGAGGGAGGACACUCUCAUCUCGUGUGCCCAUAGAGUGUAAGCUAUGGCUUUAUGUGAUGACAGAGUGAAAGUCACAUCUUCAUGUGAGGGAACGGUGGGUGUUCCGUCUCUGCUGAGGGAAGCGAUGAUGCCAUGUCCUCCCCUGUCAUAAGUGUGGAUGCCACUUCAUUGUAUGCUGGUAGAAUUAAAGUCCUGUUCUCACCUGAUGGAAGGACAAAUGCCCCAAUGUGUGGUGACAGGUAAGGAAUCAUUUGUUCACUCCUAUGGGAACGUGAGUACCUUUUCCUCAACCAAAGAAAGGGUGAAGUCUGUGUUCUCACUGUACAGAGGUCCCUCUCCAAGGGAUAUAUGAACACCCUAUUCCCAACAACUGAAGGAUUAUCACUACAUACUCCCAUAAUGGGAGUCCAAAGCCUUCUUUCCUGAAUGAAGAGCAAAGGCCAUGUGCUAACUUGGAAUGAGGGUGAAUACCAUGUCUUCACAUGAUGAUAGGAUGAAGGUUCUGUUCUCAUGGAUAAAGGGGUGAAUCUGAAGUCCUCAGAUUGUGGUAGUGUGAAUACUCUAUUCUUUCCUGAUGGUAUAUGGAGUAACUAUGCUACUGUGUUGGAUGUCUGAGGGACAUAUUCCCAUAUGAAUGCAGGGUCCUUACAUGAUGAUGGGGUGAAGGUCGUGUCAUCAAGUGACGGAAGGGUGAAUGCGCUAUUCUUCACCGGUGGAAGGAUAAUCACGUUGUGCUCAUGUGAGGUGUGUUAAAUUCCUUCUCACCCGAUGGAAAAUUCAGGCCCAGGUACUGACUCCAUAGUAAGUGGAAGGUUGUGUCUGCAUGUGGGACAGAGUGAGGGCCCUGUCUUCACAUCAUGACAGGCUGAAUGCAAAUCAUCAAGGGAUGGUGGAGUGAAGGCCCUGUCUUCAGUGAUGAAAAGGAGAACUCCAUCCCCUCACAUGAGGGCAGCUUGAAUGCUGCGUCCUCAUCAAAAGGAAGGGGAAGGCUGUGUGCACAAAGGAAAGAAAAGGUCUGGUCCUCACUGUCAGGAGUGUGAAUUCCAUUUCCUGUCCUGAUGGAAGGAAGAAUGUCUUUUCUUCAACUGAGGGAAGGGUGGACAGCCCCAUUAGAUAUGUCAGUAGGAUGAAUGUCAUGUCCUCCCGUGGUGAUUUGGUGAAGAUCAUGUCCCCACUUGAAGGAGUGAUGAUUGUCCUGUCCUCACCAGAGGGAAGGGAGAAAGGCUUGUUCCUAUGUGAGAGAAGGGUGGGUGCCAUUUUGUCUUGUCAUAGUAGCACUAAUGCUCUGUCCUCCAUGAUGGAACUUUGAACACCCUGUGCUUAUCGGGUGGAAUGAUGAAUGUGCUUUACAAUCCUGAGGAAAGAGUAAAGGUCUGUCUUCAUGAGAGAAGACUGAAUGCCCUAUUCUUGGCAGAAGGAAGUGCAUUCACUGGAACUCUCACGCGAGGUAGUGAAUGUCGUCUCCUCACCUAAUGGAACGCUGAAGUCUGUGUCAUCACUGGACAGAGAGCAAACACUGUGCUCUCACCUUACAGAAUCUGAAUGCCCCCUCCCCACACAGGGAAGAGUGGACACAAUGUCUACUCCAGCCUGAAGACCUCUCCCCCAGUAUUCCACUGAAGAAUGCCAAAUUCCUUCUCUCAGCUGACAGAAUGUGAAGUCAGAGUUUUAAUGUGAGAGUAAACUGAAUAGAGUGUCCUCAUGUGAAGAUGGCAAGAAGUUCUUGUCUUCACUGACGGAAGGUGAUUCAUGUGUUUUCAGGUGAGGGCUGGGUGACCGCAGGGCUCUCACAUCUUAAUAGGCUGAAGAUCGUGUUGUCAUCUGAUGGAAUGAGGAAUGCCCUGUCCUCAGUCAUGGAGAAGUGAACCCUGUCAUCUCCCAUAUCAGAGGUUUGAAUGUGGUGCCCUCGUUGAAUGGGAAAAUGAAUGGCCUGUCUGUGCCUGUCACAUGAAGGAGGGUCCUGUCCCAACUAGGGGAGGUAUGAACACAUUUUCCUUACCAUGUCAAGGGGUGAGCUCUUUGUUCUUAGUUGAUGCAAGCCAAUUGUCCUUCCUCACCUGAGGGGGGUCAGACACCUUCAUCUUUUGUGUCAGCAUAGUGAAUUUUCUGUCCUCAACUGAGAGCAGGAAUAAUGCCUUGUUCACACAUAUGCUAAGGGCAAAUGGCAUGUCUUCACCUGACAGAAGUGGGAACACCGUUUCUUCCUGGGAUGGUAAGUGCUAAUACCCAGUCCUCUCUCAAUGGAAUGUUAAAUGCCAUGUCUUCAGCUGGUGGAAUGGGGAAUACUGUUUCCCACCCUGAUGGAAGAGUAAACAUGCCGCCUUCACCCGAGGCGGUGGAAGGGCAUUCACUCGAAAUCUUCUUUGUGAUAGAGACUGCAAUUUUUUUCACCUAAUGAAAGGAUGAAGAGAGUUUGUCACAUGAAUGGUGGGGGAAUGCUGGACCCUCAAAUGAAAACAGGGUAAAGGCCAUGUUGUCAUGUGUCAGAAGAGUGAAUUCCCUGUCCUCAGCCAUGGAAAGAAGCGCUGUGCCUUCCUAAAUGACAGAAGUUUGAAUUCUGUGUCUUCAUUAAAUGGGAAGAUGCAUUUCCUGACCUCCUGGUGUACACAUGAAGGUCCUAUCUUCAGCUGAUGCAAGCCUGAAUGCAGUUUCUUCCCGUGGUAUAAAGAUGAACCAUGUGUACUCAACCGCUGGAAAGGGGAAUGUUCUUUCCUCACAUGAUGAAAGUGUUGACACCCUGAUCUCAAGUUUUGGGUGAGUGAAUGAGGUGUUUUCUAAUGUGGUGACACGGUAAAAGUAAUGUCUUCAUAUGCAAGAAGAGAGAAUGUCCUGUCUGCAUGGAAAGGAUGGAGAAUGCUUUAAUCACACAUGGGGACUUGGUAACUGCCAUGUCCUCACGUGACAGAAGUAUGAAUACCAUUUAAUCUUGCGAUGGUAGGGUUAAUGCCCUGUUCUCACAUCAAACAGGAAAAGUAAGUCACAAGGUGGAAGUGUGAAUGUUGUUUGAAAUUCUGAGGGAAGUGCAAAUAUACUGCCCUCACCUGAGGGGAGGGUGAAUUCUUUACUAUCUGCUGAUGGAAGGGUAAUCACUUGUAUUCACCUGGGGGAUGGUAAAGUCCCCUCAAUCCCCCUCAGCUUCAAGAUUGAAGUCUAUGUUCUCAUUGCAAAAACACCACGAUCACAAGUUACAGAAUGUUGAAGGCCUUUUCUCAGAGAGGGAAGUGAGAACACCCUAUCCUCUACUGAUGGAAGAAUUGUCACCCACCACAAAACUGCUAGAAAUCCAAAUGCCUUCCUCUCAUCAGACGGAUGGAUGAGCACCACAUCCUAACAUGAGCAAGGUGAAUGCAUGUUCUCAUGUCAAUACAGGGUGAAGGUCCUGUCCUCUGUGAUAGAAUAUGAUGUGUGGUCCUUAGGUGAUGGUAGAAUGAAUGCAUUAUCCUCUGGUCAUGGAAGGUUGAAUGCCCUGUGAUUGAAGGAUGAAGGACAUUUUGUCAUGUGGGUGACUGAUGAAUAGAGUCUUCAUGUGAUGACAGAAUGAAGAACAGAUGGUCUUAUUAUGCAACAGUGUCUACAGCCAUGGAGAGGCAAACCCUGUGCACUCACAUGAUGAAAGUUUGAAUGCUGUGUCGUCACUGUAGCAUCAUGAAGAUGGGUGAUUUAUUCACACUUGAUGGAAGAGUGAAGGUCUUUCUUUCAACAGGAGCUUGCAUGAACUUUCAACACUUUAUGGAUGUGUGAAUUCUGUGUACUCAUAUGAUGAAAGUACAGUGUUCUUUCCUCACCUCAAGGAAGAAUGGACACCUCAUCUCUUGGGUAAGUAGGUUGAGAGUUGUGUCCUCAAGUGGUGAAGGGGCAAAAGUCAUGUCUCCAAAGGAAGAAAUGGUUAAUGUCCUGUCUUCAGCCAAAGGAAGAGGAAUGCCUUGCUCAUACAUGAGCAAAGGGUGAAUGCUUUGUCCUCCCCUGGCAGAAGUGUGAAUGUCAUUUCAUCUUGUGACUGUAUUGUUAACAUGAAGGAAGGGUGGAUGGCAUGUGUUUACUUGGUGGAAUGGUGAGUAACCUUUCCAAUCCUGAGGGAAGAAUAAAUAGCUGUCUUCAUUUGAUGGAAAGAUAGAAGUCCUAUUUUCUGCUGAUAGAAGUGCAAUCAGUUGUACACUCUUGUGGGAAUGUGACCUUGCUGGACAGAAAGGCAAACACCAUUUUCUCAUCUUGCUGAAUUUGAAUGCCUUCUCAUUCAGAGAUGUGUGAAAACUCUGUCCUCUAUUGACUGAAUGACUACCAUCCAGUACCCACCUGAUGGAAGACUGAAUACCUUCUCUUCACCUUAAGGCAAGUUGAAGUCCAUGUCCUAAUGUGGCAGUAAGGUGAACUCUGUGUCCUCAGGUGAAGAUAGGGUGAAGGCCCUGUCCUCAAGUAAUGGAAUGCAGAGUCCUCGGGUGAUGGUAGGGUGAAUUCUCUCUCUUUUCCUGAUGGGAAGUUGAAUGCCCUGUGCUCAUUUGAUGGAAGAGUGAAGUAUAAAUUAUCAUGGGCGUGUCAAGUGAAUGCAGAGACCUCACACUAUGAGAGGGUGAAGGACUUGCUAUCAUGUAAGUGAAGAGUGAGUUUCCAGUCCUCAGAUGUGGAGAGGUGGACCCAUACCCUCACAUGACAGAAGUUUGAAUGCUGUGUCCACAUCAAAUGGGAAGGUGAAAAGAUUUGUCUGCAUCUAAUGGAACAGUGAAGGUCCUACCUUAAUUGAUGUCAGCACAAAUGCAGGUUCCUUACAUGAUGGUAGGAUAAACUUUGUGUACUCAGCUGAUGGUAGGAUGGAUGUCUUCUCACCUGAGGCAAGGAUGGACAGCCUCAUCUCAUGUUUCAGUAGGGUGAAAGCCAUGUCCUCACUUGGUGAGGGGGUGAAGUUCAUGUCCUCCAGUGAAGGAAUGGUGAAUGCUGAGUUCAACUGAGGGAAGGCAUGAGGCCAUGUCCCUAUCUGUAGAAGUUGAAUGCCAUUUCACAAUUGCAGAGUGAGCAUGCCAUACUCACAUGAUGGAAGGGUAAAAGCCUUGUCAUCAUCUGUUCAAAUGCUCAAUGCCCUUUUCAAUCCUAAUGGAAAAGUGAAUGUGCUGUCCACAUUUACUGGAAGUGUAAAUUGUCCUAUUCUCUGCUCAUGGAAUGGUAAUCACUCAUCCUUACCUGAGGAAUGGUAAGUGCCAUCUCCUCACUCAAGGGAAAGGUGACGUCUGUCCCCUCUGGACUGAAAGGCAAAUGAUGUGUCCUCACCUUAUAGAAGGUUGAAUGCCCACUUCUUACCAAGGGAAGUGUGAGCAUCCUGUCUCUAGUGGCCAAAUAAUUAUCACUCGGUGCUCAAAUGACGCUUCUCGUCACCUAUGGGAAUGGCAAAGUCUGUGACCUAAUAUGUGAGUACAGUGAAUGUCAUGUCCUCAAGGGAAGCUCCUGUCUUCAUGAGCUAGAAGGGUGGAUGAGGAGUACAAAGGAGAUUGGAGAGUGAAUGCUCUGUCUUCCUCUGAGGGAAGGUUGAAUGCUGGAAAGGUGAGGGACAUGUUUUGGAGGAUUGUUGGGGAAUUCAGGUACUCAUGUGUUGAUAUGGAGAAGAAUAAGUCAUCACAUGAUGGAAGAGUGAAUGCCGUGUUCCAUUGACAUUAAUGAUGACCCAUGUCCUGAAAUGAUAGAACUUGGGUGCUGUGCAUCCACACAGAACGGGAAUCCUAUCUGCAACUGAUGGAAGAGUGAAAUUCUGAUGAAAAUGAGAACACAAUUUCCACAUUUGAUGGAAGAGCAAACUCUGUGCACUCAGCUGGGGGAAGCUGGAAUGUUCUUUCCUCACCUAAGGGAAGAGUGGACGCCCUCACCUGUUUGUCAGUGUGGUGAAAGUUGUGUCCUCAUGAGGUGAGAGGGUGAAGGUCAUGCCUUCACCUGAGGAAGGGUAAGUGUUGCUUCCUCAAUGCCUUGUUCAUACGUAAGGGAAGAGUGAAUGCCAUGCACUCACCUAACAUAAGUGUAAUGCCAUUGUAUCUGAGAUGGUGGAGUUAAUGCCCUUUCCUCAUAUUAUGGAAAGGUAAAUGUCAUGCUUUUAUUGGGUUGUAUGAUGAAUGGCCCUUGAAAUCCUGGUGAAAGAGUAAACCUGCUACCUUCACUUGAGGAAAGCAUUAAUUCUCUGCUAUCCACUGUUGGAAAUGUAAUAGGUAAACUCCGUGUAGCUUUGUCUUCAGCCAAGGGAAGGACGAAUGCUAUGUCCUCACCUGGUACAUGUAUGAAUGCCAUUUCAUCAUCAAUGCCAUGUCUUCAUGUGGUCGAACAGUGACACACUUUUCAAUACUGUGGGAAGAGUAAACACACUAUCCUCAGCUGAGGGAAGUGUCAAUGCCCUGUUCUCUGCUGAUGGAAAAAUAAUCACUUCAAGUGUCCUGCGAGAUUGUGUACAACUGUCCUCAUCCAAUGGGUGAUUUCUGUGUCCUCACUGGAGAGAAGGGCAAACACCGUAUUGCUCCCGCACAGAAGUAUGAUCGCUCCUCCCUCCUCACGGAUAGAAGUGUGAACACCUUGUCUUCUCUUAACUGAAGAAUUGGUAUCCAGUAAUCACCUGACAGAAGGGGAUAUGCCUUCUACUCACUUGACGUAAGGAUGAAGACCACAUCCUAAUGUGAGAGUAAGUAAAUGCUGAGUCCUUAUGUGAAGUCAGGGUGAAGGUCCUGUCCUCACAUGAUGGAAAAGUGAAGGCUGAAUCAUCAGGUUACAGUGGGUGACUUGUCCCCUCCUGAGGAAAGGUUGAGUGUCCUGUGCUCAUCUGAUGGAAGGGUGAGGGUUAUGUUUUCACGUGUGUGUUGGGUGAAUGAAUGCAGGGUCCUCACAGGAUGACAGGGUGAAGGCCGUGUUGUCACGUGAAGGAAGAGUGAAUGACCUGUCCUCUGCAUGGAAGGGUGAACUCAGUCCCCUCAUAUAACAGAAGUUCAAGUGCUGUGUCCUCAACAAAUGGGAAGGUGCAUUCCACGAUCCCAUGCGAUGCGAGCAUGAAGGUCCUGUGCUCAGCUGUGGAAGUGUGAAUACAAGUUUCAUCACCUGUUGGAAGGCUGAGUGAGCUCUAUGUACUCAGCUGAUGGAAGGGGGGAUGUCCUUUCCUCACCUAAGGGAAAGGUGGACACCUUGAUCUCACUUGUCACUAAAGUGAAAGCUACUUCUUCACAUGGUGGCAAAGGUGAAGGCCAUGCCUUCCUGCAAAGGAUCAAUGAAUGCCCUGUCCUCGAUUGAGGGAAGAGAGAGUGCUAUGUCCUCACCUGAGAGAAGUGUGAGUGCCAUUUCAUCUUGUGAUGGUAGAGCUAAGGACUCUCCUCAGAGCAUGGAAGGGUGAUCACCUUGUCCUUCUUUGUGGCAUGAUCAAGUCCCAUUUAAAACCUGAGUAUGGUUCAAUGCACUGUCUUCACCUGGUGGAAGUGUGAACAGCAUGUGCCCGAGUGACAGAAGGGCGAGAUCCCUAUCUUCAGAUGCAUGCAUGGUGAAAUCUGUCUUCCUCUGGAAGAACAGUGAAUGCCCUCACCUGACCUGACUAACGGAUCAUUGCAGUGUCCUAACUUGAUGGAAUCAUGUAAUCAUGUCAUAUUCUCAUGUGAACACCAUGUUCUCACCUGACAGAAGGCUCAAUGCCCUUCCUUACUUGGUGGAAGCUGGAACACCCUGUUCUUUCCUGAUGGAAGGGUAAAUACCAUGCCCUCACUUGUCAAAUUGGUGAAUUCAGUUUUGUCACCUGAGGGUAGGUUAACAACCUCUUGACACCUGACUGAAGAGCGAAUGCCAUGUCCUCAUGAUAAUGUAGGGUGAAGGUCAUGUAUUCAAGUGAAGGAACUGUGAACACCAUGUCCUCACAUAACAAAAGUGCCUUCUCAUCUGAAGGGAUGACUGCCUUGUCCUUGGCCUCUGGAAGGUGAGUAUCUUGCCCUCAUGUGAUGAACGGUGACUGCAGUAUCCUCGUGUGAAUCUACGGUGAACACCAUGUUCUCAACCAAUGGAAUGGUGAACUUCCUGUCUUCAAGUGACAGAAGGAUGAACUAUGUGACAUGUGAUGUAAGGGUGGGCUUCAAGUCCUCAUGUGACAGAAGUGAAUGCCAUGUCCCUGACAUGAGAGAAAUGCCAACACUGUAUCUGUACUUGAUGGAAUAGUGAAUGCCCUGUCUUCAUGUGGUGGAAGUUUGAUCAUCAUGUUCUCAUGGGACAAAACCAUGGACUCUGUUCAUGUGCCAUUUUCCACUGCCUUUUUUAGGCACAUCAGCAGGAAACUGGAUUGGAAGUAGAGCAGCCAGGAUUCAAGACUCAAAAAGGCACUCAUAUGGGAUGCUAGCAUGACAGGUGGAAGCUUAGCCUGCUGUGCCUUAACACUGGCCCCAAUAAAUAAAUCUUUAAAAAGAUUUUAUUUUACUAUUGUGACAAGACUGAUAAGAGUUUCAAUGAUAAGCCCCAAGUUACAGUUUUACAUAAUUUUCUCACUUUUUUCUCCCCUAAAGAGAUUUAGAAACAGGACUAUUAAAAAUAUGCUUGUCGGUGGCCGAAUGGCUACUCACUGCCCCUCUCUCUAUCUCCCUCUCUGACACUCUGCCUUUCAAGUAAAAUAGUACCCAGGAAGAAAAGAUGCAUGGUUCUACCAUAUUGAAAUUUGAUUCAGGUAGAAAACAAUAUGCCCAAAUUCUUUAUGAAAAAUGAAGUUAUCAUAACUAAGGUUGGGCUUCUGAGAGGUAAGAGGGCAGCACAAGGAUUUCUUAAAGCAGCACAGAAUGACAAAGCCAAGGGACUGUACAUAGCCCAACAUCUUUACAGGAAACUUAGGUCAACAAUCCAAGAGUGAAAUCAGAAGGAUUAAGUAAUGGAAAAGCAACAUAAACAGGUUUCCAAAAUGAACAGAGAAGCCAAGAAUCUGGUCAAGGAGAUAAAGGCAGGGUCUUAGAAACAGCCGAGAACUGUGUUCUCUUGAUACCGUUUUGGAUGAAGUUCUCUGAAUAUGAGGUUGGAAGUUCCUAUCAUGAAAACUGAAAAAACAAUGGUUAAGAGUGAUUUCAUUUAUUAAAUGUUAUUACAGACUCUUUCAGGAUGAAAUUAUAACCUCCUUUCUUCAUUUGCUUAAUUUUUGAUGUUGACCAAUCUCUCUUUUAUAAAAUAAUAAGACUUGUACAUAAUAUUGUUUUGUUUAAUAUUCUCCCUGGCAAUAGGAAAUACUGACAAAGGUAGAUCAACCAACCCCUUCAUUUGUUUUCCUUUUAAUUUCUGAGUCUGUGAAAUUUUAAAUCUGGAAACAAUGGAUUGGCCCUGAGCAUCCACUUGUAUUUACAGUUUGUUUUUGUCAGGCAGUUAGGAUGAUAAUGUGAAGUUUGGCUAAAAAGAACAAAAUGGAAACUAAUCAAUUCAGCUAGCAAAUGUAAUAUCAAUAACUGAGAAAAAUACUCAUUUUACCAAACAAUGUCACAAAUACUUAAAUACUCUAAUUGUAAAAGCUAACAUGAAAAGAGUUAUGGAUACUGCAUUGGGUUCUUUUCAUUUUGUUCUGUUUUACUGCUGUUUACUAACUGCUUUGAUGAAUGCCAAGUCUAUAGCUUCAUUGUUCUGUGAGUAGUACAUGUUAACUUACGAGAUUAAAAAAAAAUACAGGAAAAGAGAAAAGUCAAAAUUAAUAAUUUCAAUAUUUAAAUUUAGAAGAUUUCAAAAUAUAAUCAUUACCAAUGAAUAUUUUUAAUGUACACAAUAACUCUCAAUAAUUCAAUCUCAAAUAAAACAUCUAAUGCAUAAAAUGAUUAUUUUAAUAAAGCCAGGUGAGUGAGUAGUGCUAGGUAUUUAUUUGAACCAAUGUAUUGAUUUUUUUGAGGAUUAAAAUGAAUCAUGAAUAUUAACUGUCUUCCUAUCUACAUUGCCAACUUUUUUUAAAAAAGAUUUACUUAUGUAUUUUAAAGGCAGAGUUACAGAGAGGCAAAGGCAGAGAGAGAAAGGUCUUCCAUCUGCUGGUUCACUCCCCAAAUAGCUACAACAGCUGGAGCUAGGCCCAUCUGAAGCAAGGAGCCAGGAGCUUCCUGCAGGUCUCUCAUGUAGGUGCAGGGGCCCAGGCAUUUGGGCUGUCUUCUACUGCUUUCCCAGGCUAUAGCAGAGAGCUGGACUGCAAGUGGAGCAGCAGGGACUUGAACAGGUACCCAUCUGAGGUGCCGGCGCUGUAGGCAGCAGCUUUACCUGCUAUGCCACAGCACUGGCCCCUACUAUGGCAACAUUUUAAGAGGCAGUGACUAACCAUUUGGCCCCAGACAAGUGUAUUUUUAAUAAUCUGUGGGGAGCAACUGAGACUAGACUAAAUUACUGGAACUAGGACUAAUUCUAUGCAUCUGAUCUCCCACAAUAUGGCACUGAGAGACAGCAAACAACUUCUACACAGCUGCCUCACCAGUUUCACUGAUAAGCUGCAGCCUGAUUGGAGGAGAGCAGCAUGCUCGGCAUGUGGGCAGCAGAGUUGCGAUUGGUGGAAGAGGACUAUAAAGGAGGAGAGAAACAACAUGCACCGGGGAACAUCUGAGGAACAUCUGAGCAACCCCCGAGAGAGCCGGCCAGUGGUGUGCUGCUCCUCCACGGAAGUGGGGAAAGCGGCGGGGGUGCCGCCCCUCCGCGGAGGCGGGGGAGGGGGGGGGGCCUGGCAGCUAACCCAGGACGGCGUUGUUCCUCCGCGAGUGAGGGAAUGGCAGCUAACCCGGGAAGGGCCGGGCAAAGAGAACAGCACAGGGUCCAGUGUCGUCCCUCCGCAAAUGGGGGAGCGACAAUAAUCCUGUUUCUAAAUCUCUUUAGGGAGGAAAAAUGAGAAAAUAGAUGAUAUAAAACUCUAAGUUGGGACUUAUCAUUGAAAUUCCUAUCACUCAUGUCACAAUAGUAAAAUAAAACCAUGUGUAAUUUCAUAUCCCUAAGGGAAUAAUUUGAACUGUUUAUCAAAAUCUAAUAGUUAUCUUCAAUUUUUAUUAAGUGUAAGUAUGCUAAAAAAUAGAGUUCCAAUUGAUGCUGCCAGAUAGUCUCUCAUUUUUAUUGAGCUACCAAUAUUACAGAUGUGUGUAUAUAUAUACAUAUACAUAUCAAAAAAAUAUGACUUAGAAUAUUUGUAUGGCAUAAAACAUAACAUUUCUGCAAGAGCUAAAUUAGAAGCCCCAAAAUAACAUGUAAUUUUUUUAGAUGCCUCUGAUCCAAAUUAAGAAAGCAGCAUGUUAAGCAUAAAUCUUAAAGUAUGAACUACCUUUGGAAAUAAAAUAAAUUCUGGGUGACUAAGUUGUUUUAAAAAUAACCUUAUAUUCAUUAUUUUUUAAAAAAAUAUUUUAAGAAUUCUUAAACUAGCUCACCAUAAUACUUUCAGUCUGAUAAGUGCCAAGUGUCACCAAAAAGAACUUAGUUUAUCAAAUAACAUUUAUAUUAAAUCAUUUCUUUUUUUGAAUAAUUAUGCUCCUAAUCUGAUGCCAAAGUCUGAGGCAGAAAGGAAAUCUUUUCCCUGCACAAUUUCCCCCAGCAGCCAGCCACUGCCAGCAGCAAUAGGUUAUUAAUAGACAUUCAGUGACUAUUACAGUAUCACUGGGAUGGGCAGCACAGAACCUGAGGUCAAAAAAGAGGUCAUUUAAGGCCAUUUAGCUCAGUAGCUUUAUAAUAAACUUUGCUAAAUAUCCACUCCAUAGAUUUUGAAGUAUUUAAAAAUAAUUCCCAGGAGUCUACAUUACAAUUUGAGUCAGAGCUUCUAUCCCCAGUAUUAGUUUAGUUUAGGAUAGCCUUCCUACCCCCAAGUGUGCUAUUUCUGGUCUGCCUCAUACCUGCCCAAAUGUGGAAACCAACUUUCCUCCUUAAUUUCUACAAAAUUCACUCAUUUAUUUUUGUUCUAACAAAUUCUGCUAAAGAUUUGGUACAUUAGAAGUAUUUUUAUCACAGAAACACAAACAACUUAAAACUGAAUAUUAGGCCUUCAUUUUUCUCAAGUACUCCCCCAUUCCUCCACCUCCCCUUCUCCUUCUAAUUCCCCAUUUUUGGAAACAUAUAAAUGGCACUCUAGCCUCUCACCAAGCUAUUUUAUACCUCAUUCUAGCUUCCUCUUCUCUUCAGUUAUGCUAUAUCCCUGCCUUGUUUGUCCCUCAAGGGAAUAAACUAUAAAUAACUCACAUUUUUAAUGCAGACUAGCUCAAAUUCCUCAUAAUGGCAGUGCCUGCCUGGAUAAACAGCAUCAAAAAAUCAUUCCUUUGGGAUUCAGAGGUGCUUCUCAGCUUCAAGGCUCUCGCACAAAAAUCAAAAGUACCUAGAGUGGCAAAUCUCUAAGCUACUGUGGCUCAACUAUCUCACGGUGAAUGGUGAUGGUAGAGAAGAAGUCUCUGGAGAUGACUCCAGGCACUUAGCCCCUCUCAAGGAUGCACAGGCCUCUGGAUGCUGAAGGGAAUGGUGUCAAGACUCCUGAGCCCUGGAUACGCUUUUCAUACAUAUUCAUCUGAGUCAAGCACUUUUCUCUCUCGCUUAUACAUCCAGCCAUGCUUGGGCAAGUCAGUCUUAAAGGUUGUCCCUGAACAUUCUACUAAGUUCUACAGCAAUUUUCUCAGAUACAUCAUACUUUUUCUUUAUUUUUCCACUAGCUACCAAAAAAUAAAAACCCAGAAGAAUAAUUUCCACUUUCAAUCACAAAAGUAUACCAGAAUCUAGAUUUCACCUACUGCCAUGAACUACUAGAAAGCUAGAAAAGCUAUGGAAAAUAAGAACUAUUUUCAGAUACUGGACCAUAGUAGGAUGGUGUUGUGACACCACAGAGAAAGAAACAAGGGAGGUAAGCCAUAUCAUUCUCCAUGUAGUUUGCCUCCAGACAACCGCCAGGCAGCAGCAUAGGCAAUGGGGCUUCAAAAGAGCCAGAAAGCUCAGAUUUCAAAGAGGCAGAAGUGGUUGAUAUUUCCAGAGAAGAGCCCUGAGAGACAGACUAUAGAGAAAGCUCCAGAAAUUUAUCUUGUGGUAGCUUUUAACCUGUUGCAUACCAUUGUCCUAUACAUAUGGGAUACUUAUAAAAACAAAUUGAGAGAUAAAUAUACUAUUUAUUGUAACUUUAAAAUACAUAUUCUAUUUUUAGAGUUCUUUUCUUCUGAGAAAAGUAAUAGGUGAAUAAUUAGAGCAUCGGAAAAUAUUUUUAAAUUAAUUGUGAAAACAGCAUAAACUUAAGUAUAAGUUACUUACUAAAUGUUUAACUGAUCAAAAGAUUAUUUAUACAACUGAUAAUAAAUACAUUCAUGAAAGUGUUUUCUGGAUGUAGACUGCCAUUUUACUUCAAGGAAUGUACUACAUUUCAAAUCAUUGACUUUGCAAAAUAUCUGUCCCAUAAAAAGGACAUGGGGACAACGUACAGCGCAUAGUAAUAUGUAGAGUACCCACUACUGCCUGACAAACUCGAAUGUGUUGCCAUUUGCGGUUAUUUGUUACGAGCUAUGAGCUUUGUGCUUGAGAGUAAGGUAAUUCUGCAAAUAUUUAAGGCAGUAGGGAAUCCACAGUCACACUCCGUUUUUUUCCAACAGUCUAUUCCCUAGUUAUGACUUGCUGGUGUACCUUCAGAAUAGUGGAUUUCAAUAUAUCUCCUGGAUACCUAGAGGGAAAACAAUACCAGUGUCCUCUGAAACAAACACUGAUAAAAAAAAAAAAAAGAAAAGAGAGUUGUCUGAUUAUAAAUGUGAUACAAAGAGUGAAUUUUUUUUUGUAAAAUGGUUCAGUAAUAAAUGUGCAUUGUUCGAACAAACUGUGGCACAGAGGAACCACUUGGCAAAGUUCAACAAUGAACAAAAGAAAUAAAGA